CCUACGGGGGGCAGCAGUGAGGAAUAUUGGUCAAUGGACGAGAGUCUGAACCAGCCAAGUAGCGUGAAGGAUGACUGCCCUAUGGGUUGUAAACUUCUUUUAUAUGGGAAUAAAAUGUUCCACGUGUGGGAUUUUGUAUGUACCCUAUGAAUAAGGAUCGGCUAACUCCGUGCCCGCAGCCGCGGUAAUACGGAGGAUCCGAGCGUUAUCCGGAUUUAUUGGGUUUAAAGGGAGCGUAGGUGGAUUUUUAAGUCAGUUGUGAAAGUUUGCGGCUCAACCGUAAAAUUGCAGUUGAAACUGGCAGUCUUGAGUACAGUAGAGGUGAGCGGAAUUCGUGGUGUAGCGGUGAAAUGCUUAGAUAUCACGAAGAACUCCGGUUGCGAAGGCAGCUCACUGGACUGCAACUGACACUGAGGCUCGAAAGUGUGGGGAGCAAACAGGAUUAGAUACCCGAGUAGUC
rnacentral:rRNA from 1 species